AUUGACCUCGGAUCAGGUAGGGAUACCCGCUGAACUUAAGCAUAUCAAUAAGCGGAGGAAAAGAAACCAACAGGGAUUGCCUCAGUAACGGCGAGGAGCGG
rnacentral:rRNA from 2 species